rnacentral:lncRNA from 1 species
AGAGCAGCGUGAGCGUGGCUGGCCUGGCAGGUCCCACCCUGGCCCUCUGGGGAGGCAGCCCUGGGGCGAGCCAGCCCCACCGUGCACACAUUGUGAGCACCCAGGCACCUCUGCUUCCGUGAGGGGCACAGUGCGGUUGGAGACGGCUGGAGCAGGGGGAGGGGCGUUUCCAGCCCCCACCCUCCAAAGCUUUGGUCCACUUAGCGGGCACAGCUAAGCCCCUGCCGGGCUUUUCUCAGGCAGCCACAGCACAGGAUGACCAGGACCUUACAGAGGAGCCUUAAGGGCAAAGAUGGAGGUGGAAGGUGACCCCUGCAGCCUGAGGCUUUUAGGGCCUUUCUGCUCCUCCUAACCCAAAGAUGCCCAGCAAAGACAAAUGAAGCCCACCCAAGACCCCGAGCGCGACCACUCUGUGGAGAGCCACCCGGCCUCCGAGGGCAGGGCCAAGCACCCCAGAUGGGCAGUGACCCCUCCCUCACGAGGGUGGGCAGGAGAGAGCGCCUGUCCAGUGAAGGCGGCCAGGCAGGCCCACGGGUGAGCGGACGUCCGUGCUGUGCGCGUGGACAUGUCCUGUCUACGUGAGGAGGCUGGAUUCUCGGGGCUGGGCCGUGUGGGGUUGGGAGGGCUGCCCGCCUCCC